rnacentral:lncRNA from 1 species
UGGUUAUUGUGCUUCUGUGAAGGUGAUUAAUUAAGACUUAGUUUGGUAUUGAGACUCAUCCGACCCUAUUAGAUAAAAUGAAGUUACGAUAAAAGUAUUGGAUUUUAUUGGGUUUGUUAUGAUUUAAAAUUUAUUAAAGCCUCUGGAGAGUCCAAUAAUUAUUAAUGGGCCGCUUAAGGAGACCAACUAAAAUUUUCAUGUAAGAUGUUUAGUCCCAUUUUGGAAACCAAAAGGGUGUUUGUGGUUUUUAUGUAUUGCUUUAUCCUCAAGCUAGUUGCUUGGAAAAAAAAUGAGAGUAAUGAUCUAGUUUAAAUACAUGCACGCACGGCACGAGCGGUCCAUAUAUUCGGUUUAUUUUAUUUUGUCGAUUUUAUCUUUAUUUAAUACUUAUUUUUUUACUGGUCAUAAUCCUUAUCUUUAUCCGUAUAAUCUUAGGCUUAUCUUGUUAUACACGGAUUUGACGCGUUGAAGCAAGAUUCUCGCCUAGGUUAUAAAUACAGGGCGAUGUUAUACGAGUUAAUUAAUAACCCGAGAAUACCUAAACCCUCUCGUCUUUUUUUACUUUCUGAAUUUUCGCCGAGUUUUCUUUUGCUGGAUCUGAAGCUGAUUGGAUUCGUCUUGCGCCACCUUAGAAACGUGCCGACGAGGUACAACGUAGUCGUUGUAUCGUUAUGAGUAAUUUCCGAGAAGCCUCGCACGUGGAGGGGCAAUUUCGCUUCUAGGACAGUCCUCUGCACGCCUUGAUCCACAGGCCUUAUCUAAACCUUUUCUUUACCGUAUUUGUUAUUUAAUUUCGUUUCGGGAUUUUCCUAAACCUGUAAUUAAAUUCUCGAAUUGGUUUUUAAAGAAUAUUGUAAUGAAAGAUCAGAAAGUUUUUCCAACAAAAAGCAUACAUGAAUAUGCUUCUGCGUUCUCCGAUGGAACUAUAGAAAAUAUAUAGUAACCGACUCAUCGUGAUAUGCGAAAUGUAAUAUUACAUACGGAAACAAAUAGAGUAAUAUUUUAUCAUACUUUCUCACUGUACGUAACGCAAUCUCCCUAUAAUCUCAAACGAAGCCUAAGUCCAGUUUCGUAACGUUGUAGGUAAAAGUAUUAAUCAUAUAUCCUAGAAGGUUCAAAAUAUUUAGAAGCAUUUUUUUUAUAUAAUAUAAUAUUGUGGUUAUAACUAUUAUUAGUUAUAAUUAUUAUCUUAAAGUAUUAAAAGAGGAAAGACAGUAAACACUUCUAAAUUUUUGUAGAUAUUUUAUAAUAUAAAAAUAAUUAUCUUAAAGUAUUAAAAGAGGAAAGAUAAUAAACACUUCUAAAUUUUUGUAGAUAUUUUAUAAUAUAAAAAUAGAACUAGGCUAGACUAUCAAUAGCACCAAAGCUAUUAAUACUAUUAGGUUUUUGGCCAUUGGGUGAGGAAAAUGUACGGUUACAAUUAUGUGGGCCUUCUAGAAUUGAGUGAGUUAUUAGUUGAAUAGUAUAAUCUAAUAGAUAAAAAUAGUCAAAAAGUUAAAUCUAACGGCAGAAAACUCGGUAGCAUCAAACGCUUAGUGCUAUCGAUAGUAUCCCAGCCAAAUUCUAUAAAAAUUACCACUGUAUUACCAAAUUAUAUCUAAAC